rnacentral:rRNA from 1 species
CAGCCGCCGCGGGAAUACGUAGGUGGCAAGCGUUGUCCGGAAUUAUUGGGCGUAAAGGGCUCGCAGGCGGUUUCUUAAGUCUGAUGUGAAAGCCCCCGGCUCAACUGGGGAGGGUCAUUGGAAACUGGGAAACUUGAGUGCAGAAGAGGAGAGUGGAAUUCCACGUGUAGCGGUGAAAUGCGUAGAGAUGUGGAGGAACACCAGUGGCGAAGGCGACUCUCUGGUCUGUAACUGACGCUGAGGAGCGAAAGCGUGGGGAGCGAACAGGAUUAGAUACCCCUGUAGUCCCUGUCUCUUAUAC